CCUGAGACAUAUCAUGUGCAGCUGGAAACGCCACGUGAUAUCGUUUUCACAAUACUAACCAACAUAUAGAGCACUGUCUUGAUAUAGACAUGACUCACCUACACCAUCAUUCCAGCGUGCAAUGUACACAAUACUCCAUUAACUCUUGAACAGAUAAUCAACAAGAACCUA
rnacentral:lncRNA from 1 species